AAUAGAUACCCAGGUAGUCCACGCCGUAAACGAUGAGUGCUAGGUGUUAGGGGUUUCAAUACCCUUAGUGCCGCAGCUAACGCAAUAAGCACUCCGCCUGGGGAGUACGGUCGCAAGACUGAAACUCAAAGGAAUUGACGGGGGCCCGCACAAGCGGUGGAGCAUGUGGUUUAAUUCGAAGCAACGCGAAGAACCUUACCAGGUCUUGACAUCCCGCUGACCGCUCUGGAGACAGAGCUUCCCUUCGGGGCAGCGGUGACAGGUGGUGCAUGGUUGUCGUCAGCUCGUGUCGUGAGAUGUUGGGUUAAGUCCCGCAACGAGCGCAACCCUUAUCUUUAGUUGCCAGCAUUCAGUUGGGCACUCUAGAGAGACUGCCGUCGACAAGACGGAGGAAGGCGGGGAUGACGUCAAAUCAUCAUGCCCCUUAUGACCUGGGCUACACACGUGCUACAAUGGUUGGUACAACGGGAUGCUACCUCGCGAGAGGAUGCCAAUCUCUUAAAACCAAUCUCAGUUCGGAUUGU
rnacentral:rRNA from 1 species